UACGUAGGGACCAAGCGUUGUUCGGAUUUACUGGGCGUAAAGGGCGCGUAGGCGGCAAUUCAAGUCAGCUGUGAAAAUCUCCGAGCUUAACUCGGAACGGUCAGCUGAUACUGUUUUGCUAGAGUACAGAAGGGGCAAUCGGAAUUCUUGGUGUAGCAGUGAAAUGCGUGGAUAUCAAGAGGAACACUCGUGGCGAAAGCGAGCUACUGGACAACUCCUGACCGGCUGAGGCUCGAAGGCCAGGGGAGCGAAAGGG
rnacentral:rRNA from 1 species